AAAUCUACUUUACAUACUCUGUUGACAGAUGAGCUGGGCCUUGCUCAUCUAUCCUUGAUAUAUCUAGUUCAGUACUCACUUUGGCAGUUAAACUACUUUUUUCUAUUUUUCCUUCCUCUUCAAGAAACUCUUGGUUUUACAGGAAAAACGUAAAGCCAACAGGACUUGUUGAUGCAUUGGAUAGGGGGUAUGAAAGAAGACUCAAAAGACUACAGUAUGUAAAGGCAGUCAAAGCCAGGAUGUCCUACAAGACCAGGGCUAAAACCCCAGGAGACUCCCCUGCUGCCGCCAUCUCCACGUCCGCCGUCCCAGAGCCCAGCAGAAAGGCGCCGGCGCCGCAUCACGUGCCUGCAGCGUAAUCUCCCAGUGGCCAGUGGUGCCUCAUACAUGACUCGCCCGACCAAUGCUUGGCGUCCGCGCUCCAGGCUCCUCGUUGCUAGGUGACCUCAGCCACUGCUGGUUUGCAGUGCUUGGCUGGUAGCGGUGGAAACUUCAGACCCGGCUCAGUCUCUUCGCCGCGCCAGUCCCUGCGAGGGUCUUUUGCUACGGAUGCUUUCUCUCCGGCGGGAGCCUAAAUGGCGCCCCCCGCCCCCCACCUCCUUCCGCUUUCGAGGCUUGAACCCAGGCGUCCGAAUAUCCGCUAUCAAGC
ensembl:lncRNA